UCCGGGAAAACAAGCCCAGAAGGCGGCGGACACUCGCAUAAAGUCACGCAGUAGUACUCGGAGCCCGGGGUAGAACCUGGACUUCAAAUCUCUGCACUCCCGGCCGGGUGGUGGGCGCAUAUCCUGGGUAGCCUCUAGGAAGCGCUAGACACAUGUUCUGAAGAAGAUUCCAGCCUGCCACACUGUUAUGCUGUGAGUCCAGGGCUUAGUGGAACCCUGUCUUGGCCCACAGCCAUUAGGAUAUUUCUCAGGGAAAGCCCUUGGACCAAGAAGUCUAGAAUUGUCUGUGAAAACAAAAGCAUUUGGAUUCUUUUCAG
rnacentral:lncRNA from 1 species